GCCAUGUUUGGAAAGCCCUUACUUAGCUAAACUUUCACCCAAAGAAUUUCAAAUGAUAUACCCUUUUUUUUUUUAACCUUGGCCUUAAACAGUAUGAAAACCCUUGUUUGAAUUGAAUUACCUUGAGUUGGGUUGAGGAUAAUGUUGAAAAGGUUCAAGUUUGGGGUUGUAUGGGGAAAGUAAAAGGCAAAAGAAAAAGCAUUGAGUUCAAAAGAUGAAAAAGAAAAAAGCAUGAGAAAGAAAAAGAAAAGAAGAAAAGAGAAAAAGCAUGUAAAGUCAACUCAAUGUAAAAGGAAAAAGGGAAGAAGUUGGGAAUGAGUGAGAUUGGUUAAAAAGAGAGUGUGCUUGAACCUUGAAUGAUAAUUUAAACUCUCUUAACUCAAGGAUUUUGUAUUCCAGAAAAACCAAUUUUUCUUGUUACCCCAGCCACAAUAUAAGCCUUGGAAAAAGUCC
rnacentral:lncRNA from 1 species